rnacentral:lncRNA from 1 species
GUAGAAGUGUUUAGAAACAUAUUAUAUUCUUAUUUACAAUAAAAGUGACCCCAAAAUGAGAAAAAACAUUAUUUACCAUUCAUUUCUAUGGGGCACAAAAUGAUCUGAAACAUAACCACAGCAAACGGAUCCAACAAAUUUGUUGAGGCACAAACUUGACAUUGUAAUUUCAUGCAAUGAACGUGGGACCAAAUACUUAACUGUUUAAUACACAUAAGUGACUUGUCCCAAUACUUUUGAUUUCAAAUCCAACGUUCUGAAGUAUAGAGCCAAAAUAAGAAAUAAUGCUUCACUGUCCCAAUAAUUAUGGAGGGCACUGUAUGUACAGUAUACUGAGAAGGCACAGAAGGGGGGAUAGGACAGUCAAUCAUAGACCAUUGGCAUCCUUGAAGAGGUGUGUUUUUAGGAAGUUUUUGAAUGAAAUGAAUGCAUUUGCAUGUGUGGGGGGAGUGCAUUCCAGUUGCCUGGUGGCAAAGCAGCUGAAGGACCGGGCACCCACGGUGGAGAGGCAGAAUGGGGGAGUGACAAGGAGACCAGCAGAGUUGAAGCGGAGGGAGCAGGAGGGGGAUAGGCUGGGAGAAGGUCAGAGAGGCAGGUGCGUGGUUGGUUGUGGAGGGCUUUGUAGGUGAGGAAAGGUCGCUGGUUGGAAUACCCGAGCCGACAAGGUGAAAAACCUGUCGAUGUGCCCUUGAUGCCAAGCUCUGACAAUUGUUCGUUCUGAUAUUUUUACAUUUCUUUCUAUUUACUUUUGGAUUAUGUGUGUAUUGUUUUGUAUUGUUUUCUAGGUAUUAUUCCUGCACUGUUGGAGAUAGAAACACCAGCGAUAACAUCUGCAGAUCUGUGUACGCGACCAAUAACCUGAUUUGAUUUGAGCACUUAAACCUAAUUUUAUCCCAGGGGUGCAGUACUACUAUGGCUGACCCUGUAAAACAAACAGCAAAUUUCACUGCACCUAUCCGGUGUAUGUGAAAAUCUAAAUAAAUAAAACAUUGCCUAUUUUAGCCUAUGCAAAAAAACAGACACGAAAAAUAACUCAACAUAGCUACACAUCAACAUACAGUAUGCUGACUUAAAUUGUUUACCUUCGUGCAGAAUCAGGAGCAUCGUGUGACGUGGGAUUCUGUUGGCAGAGCACUGCCCAUGAGCAAGCAGACUUCUCUUGAACCUCCACUAUCCCAGAAACCCUCUCGCUGGAAGUCCAUUUGUUCACGAUAGACCCGCGCAACGGAAAGGCAGUUAACAUGUCUGACAAGAAACAGACUGUAGAUUUGGGAUUAUUAGAGGAGGACGAUGAGUUUGAAGAAUUCCCAGCCGAGGAUUGGACUGGGUUGGAUGAGGAUGAAGAUGCCCACGUGUGGGAAGACAACUGGGAUGAUGACAAUGUAGAGGACGACUUCUCUAAUCAACUAAGAGCGGAGCUGGAGAAACAUGGGUACAAGAUGGAGACGUCUCAGUAGCAGCCGAGUCCACACGGCUGUUGAGAUCGGAUAGGGAUGGACUUGAAUUUAUAACAUCAUACUUGAAAUGGAGGAUGUUUAACUUGCUAAACUCGCACACAUUUUUGUACGAAACCUUAGCACGAGUAAAGUGUUUCACGAGUAAAUUCCCCGCUCAGAGUUAUGUAGACAUUAAAGAUGGUUAUUUUCAAGUAUCUGUCCACAUACUCUUAUUUAUGCACAUUUUCCAUCUUUAUAUAUAAUCAGCUGGUCAGUUACUGCUUUAAUAUAAAUCCAUAUUUUACAGGUUUUGUGUUUUUACUAUAAUGACCACUUUGGUCCAGGGCUUUGGUUUAACAUCCAUUUAAAUACCACUUUUUGUUAGAGCCAUUGAUUUAAAUGUAGCUUUACUGCCUGCGCAACACUUAACCUACGUUUUAAUGGUCCAGUAAUUAUUGGCCUGUGUGACACACUCCAUCUAUUUUAAUCCACAAUAUGAAUGUUGCAUGAUGUUAGUAAAGAGUCAAGUGCUGCACUGCACAUUUUUCCAUUGUAAUGCUCUUAGUUUGAAAACUACCACCCAUUUUUCACAUGGUCACUCUCCAAUAUUAAACCAUUCAAUGAACAGGUGUGUGUCAGUCAGAAGUGGAUGGGGAGACACACACACACGCAGCGAGAUGUGUGCAUAAAUUGUGUGUACAGUGUGUGGGUGUGUGUGUGUAGGAUGAUCCACACACAGGGAUGCGUGUUCCCCUCUGCUGUCUACAUUCCCUCUGAGCUCAUGGCGUUGGGGCUGGGUCUCAGUCUGAAGGAGAGAUUAUCCACUGCCGUGUUUGUCAGGGGCAGGGAGGUGGUCUCAGCAUGGGGGCCCCUGCCCUGCCUGGGCCUGCCCUACUCCCGACCAGGCCCUGCUUUUCCGGCUCUGCACAGCAGGGACCCCUGCACUGAACCGAGGCCAAUUUAGCCCAGCCACACUCGCCCCUGCAUUUGUGGACUCUCAGUCCCUCUGUCUUAAAGAGAAGAAAUGGAUGCCAGUAAAACCUGCUGUAUAAGAGCUGCUUCCUCUCCUCCAGUGUUGCUCCCUCUGCUCUUUAUAUGUUGCUGGUAGACCUGCGUUAGCUUCUGUGGGAAUAGCAGUUAGGAAAGUUUUCUGCACAUACUGUUUUCCAGUGUUUCUCUACAUAUUAUGGUUGUAUUAUUAGAUACAAUCCUGAUUUCCUGUUCAAAACAAAAUGGGUUGAUUUAUCUCGUCUAUCCUCCACCACUAUAGGCAAAACAGACCAUCCUGUCAUCUGUCUUUUCCAGAUGAUUUUACAUCUAUGAUCUAUUGCUCAUGGCUGUCGUUCGUAAUGGUGUCUUUUUAAGGUAUGUUCUCUGAUAUUUGUGAAGUUGCACAGGUGUAAGUCCUCAAGAUGAGGGUAUCUCUCCAGAGGGUAUAACUCCCUCUUCACCAGUGAUUAUGCCAAACACUCGUCUGCAGACCACAAUCCAACCGCUCCCUUGUGUGUAAAGCCCUUAUGACACGUUCUGAUCUCUCCAACUGUUCAGAAUGGAAUUUCAAUUAGUCCAAAAUGAACAUUUGGUGUCUUUAGACUUUAUAGACCCCAUUUGAACUUGCAGUUGUGGGUUCUACUAGUGAAAUAUAAAAUGUAUACAUUUUGACACAUUAUUAAAUGGAGGAUGUGGGACUAAGAUUGACACAAUACACAAAGAUGCUCACGUUUACUUAUGCCGUUAAGCUAAGUGCCAAGAGCCGGAUCAUUAUUUUAAUUGUUGGAAAGGCAACGGAGUGAGAGAAUCGGUAAGUGUGAGAAAUGGAGAACACAGCCAUUUUGUUUGUGCUGAGAGCGGCAGGUUGUCUCCCUGUGUUGGGGUUUGAGCAGGGCCUCUGUGCCCCCCCCCAAUUGCUUUUCAUUUGCCUAACUUUUGUCAUUCAUUUAUGAGCCACAUAAUUCACCUUGACAUGGGCAGUCUGCCCACUUUUACCAAUAUUAAUGUGUCAACAAUCACAUUUCUAGUUUGAACUGAACCCCAAUGAGGAUGUAUUUUUGGAAGGUAACAGGAUUUCAAUUUGGAACACUGUUUCAUCAAUAGACUGCUACAGUUGCUUUUGUCCACUUUGUCAAAAUAAAAAGCAUCUGUACAUGAAACCCUGGAUCAUGGUUUGACCAUUGUCUUAUGUGCUGGCAAUAUAACCAGCAAGAGGUCUAUAAAAACAGUAAAAAUACUACUGAAUACAAUACAUUUUGUACAUUACAGCUCUAUUGUUCCUCUGGCCUGGUGGCUGUGGGCGAUGUAUGGC